UGAACGCUGGCGGCGUGCCUAAUACAUGCAAGUCGAGCGAACAGACGCGGAGCUUGCUCCUCUGACGUUAGCGGCGGACGGGUGAGUAGCACGUGGAUAACCUACCUAUAAGACUGGGAUAACUUCGGGAAACCGGAGCUAAUACCGGAUAAUAUAUUGAACCGCAUGGUUCAAUAGUGAAAGACGGUUUUGCUGUCACUUAUAGAUGGAUCCGCGCCGCAUUAGCUAGUUGGUAAGGUAACGGCUUACCAAGGCGACGAUGCGUAGCCGACCUGAGAGGGUGAUCGGCCACACUGGAACUGAGACACGGUCCAGACUCCUACGGGAGGCAGCAGUAGGGAAUCUUCCGCAAUGGGCGAAAGCCUGACGGAGCAACGCCGCGUGAGUGAUGAAGGUCUUCGGAUCGUAAAACUCUGUUAUUAGGGAAGAACAAAUGUGUAAGUAACUAUGCACGUCUUGACGGUACCUAAUCAGAAAGCCACGGCUAACUACGUG
rnacentral:rRNA from 1 species